AGCGAACGCUGGCGGCAGGCUUAACACAUGCAAGUCGAGCGGGCACUUCGGUGUCAGCGGCAGACGGGUGAGUAACACGUGGGAACGUACCCUUCGGUUCGGAAUAACGCUGGGAAACUAGCGCUAAUACCGGAUACGCCCUUUUGGGGAAAGGUUUACUGCCGAAGGAUCGGCCCGCGUCUGAUUAGCUAGUUGGUGGGGUAAUGGCCUACCAAGGCGACGAUCAGUAGCUGGUCUGAGAGGAUGAUCAGCCACACUGGGACUGAGACACGGCCCAGACUCCUACGGGAGGCAGCAGUGGGGAAUAUUGGACAAUGGGCGCAAGCCUGAUCCAGCCAUGCCGCGUGAGUGAUGAAGGCCUUAGGGUUGUAAAGCUCUUUUGUCCGGCACGAUAAUGACGGUACCGGAAGAAUAAGCCCCGGCUAACUUCGUG
rnacentral:rRNA from 1 species